AUUCUAUUCCUCUCUUCAAUUGCGUUUGCUUCUUUCGUGGUGUGGAUCAGUGUGUAUGCAUUGACAAUAUUGUUAAUAGGAUUCAUCAAAAUAAAGAUCAUCAUAGAAGUGUAAAGCGUUAUUCGUAAAUUCAUAAAGUGGUUUGUUAUUAAGAAAAGUUUCCAAGAAUGGCAGAUAAUGAGCAGAAAGCUUUACAGCUAAUGGCUGAAGCCGAGAAAAAACUCAGUUCAUCAAAAGGACUCUUUAGUUCUCUCUUUGGCUCAUCAAAGGUGGACGAAGCAGUAGAAUGUUAUCAACGAGCAGCAAAUCUGUUCAAGAUGGCUAAAAAGUGGGGCAAUGCUGGAAAUGCCUUUUGUGAAGCAGCAACACUCCACGCUAAAGCUGGUAGUAAACAUGAUGCUGCUACAAACUAUGUUGAUGCAGCCAACUGCUAUAAGAAGACUGAUGCAAAUGAAGCGGCGAAUUGCCUUUCAAAAGCUAUUGAGAUUUAUACUGACAUGGGAAGAUUUACGAUGGCUGCUAAACAUCAUCAAAGUAUAGCUGAAAUGUAUGAAAGUGAAGCAGUUGAUUUAGAACGUGCUGUUCAUCAUUACGAACAAGCAGCUGACUAUUUCAAAGGCGAAGAGAGCAUCUCAUCUGCCAAUAAAUGCCUUCUUAAAGUAGCUCAAUAUGCAGCACAGCUUAAAAAUUAUGAAAAAGCCAUCCAGAUUUAUGAACAGGUGGCAAUGUCAUCAUUGGAAAGUCCAUUGCUUAAAUAUAGUGCAAAAGAAUAUUUCUUCAGGGCAGCGCUUUGUAACUUGUGUGUAGAUGCUCUCAAUGCCCAGCAUGCUAUUGAACGAUAUAACGAACAAUAUCCAGCAUUCCAAGAUUCUAGAGAAUACAAGUUGAUAAAGACAUUAAUCGAACACUUGGAAGAACAAAACGUUGAAGGUUUUACAGAGACUGUGAAGGAAUACGAUUCAAUAUCAAGACUAGAUCAAUGGUACACGACGAUAUUGCUUCGCAUCAAGAAACAAAUUAAUGAUAACCCUGAUCUCCGCUGAUUAGUGGUAGUGAUAAUUGAUCAGUGCAUUAUAUCAUUAAUAUUCUUCCUCCUGCCCCGUGUGUAUUCUUCCUUGUUUAAAAUUAGGCUUCUAAUAUCACUCGUAAUAUAAACUAAAUCGGAGGCUUUGUUCAAAUACAAAAUCCAUUCGUUUAACUUUCAUCUUCAACAAUAAUAUCAAUUUCGACGUUAUUGAGUUAUAAAACUCUUUAACAGACUGCAAAUUUUCGGUGAGUGCUUAACAAGCAGUAGUCAAUUAGCUAAACAAUCUAGCUAGGUCGAUGCAAUCGAUAUUGGAAAUAAAAUAACUCUUUUAUUAUUAUAAAAAACCGAAUAUAUUAAUUUAUAAAGAAUACCAAGAAAGGAGGAUACAAUAUUGUUUUUUUAAUGUACAUUUUUGUGAAUUAUGAUAUAUUAUGGUUUAAAAAUAUUUAUAAUAAUCUCUAUUUAUUGUGUUACUUCUACAUUAUUCCAUUGUAAAAUUUUAUUUUAUGUAAUUGUUCAUUCCAUCAGUUAUAACAUAAAAAUUUUUAGCAUCCAUUUAAUGAAAAUUAAUUACAUAAAAAAAGUAUUUUCAUUGACAGACAUAAUCUGUUAAAAAUUAAUGGUUUUUUAACACUAAUUAUUACUUUGUUUGUUAUGCAAAUAUUGUUAUGAAUUAAUAUUAUUACCAUAAUUAAUAAAAUAUAAUAAUAAUAAUAAUAAUAAUAUAAUAAUAAUAAUUAAGUGCGGAAGAAUAUAUUAGGGGAAUAUAAUUCCAAUAAACUCAGCUAUUUGAUUAGUAGGAAGUGAAAAAAAAUCGAAAAAAAAUACAAAAAAAUAUAUCUAUCAACGUUUUAAAAUAUUGAGCUUAUCAUUUCAUAAAGAGGAGGAAUAACAAUCACAUUUACAAACUUCGUAAAGUAAAAUUUUUAUUCUUAGAAAGGUUUGACAUCCACGUGAAAUUAUUACAUGCCACUUAUUAUGUACCACACUCGUACACACGACAGCAGACAAACGUAUGCAUGUAUCGGAGCGAAUAAUAAAAUUAUUAAUUAUCAAUUCGAUUCUGAAA
rnacentral:misc_RNA from 1 species